rnacentral:tRNA from 1 species
AGAGGUGUAGCUCAAGCGGUUGGAGUGCAUGCUUAGCAUGUGUGAGGUUCAGGGUUCAAUCCCCAGUACCUCCU